rnacentral:lncRNA from 1 species
GCGACAGUGCCUCCUACGGCAAAAAAUGAUUUAACAUCAUAUUCAAAGAAUCCAGGUUUCGAGGUCUUAGACUAGAUCAGUCAUCUCACCUCCGCCUGUUAUUACGAAUCUGUGAGCUUGCACGUAUUUUCGGUGGGCGGUAGAGCCAUACCCCAAUCACAGAUUGCGAAAUGCUAAAAUUUAGCGCGACUUAAAACGUCAAAAGCUUAAAAUGCGUAUUUUAUCUUAUCACAGCACAAACAAGCUCUGGAGAUUCGUUUCAGCUUAUGAACGAACUCAAACGUCAUGGGUCAGCUCAACAACCCGCAAUCAGCUCCCAAGCUGUGUUUCAUGCGGAGAUCUAACUCUCCGUUUUCACUUUAACUUAUCGGUUUGCAGAGAAGCUCUCAAACUCUGUUUUAAGCUUAAGUAAUAUACUUGACCAGCCAGUUCGUAGACAAGCCAUUUCAUUUCAGAAAGAGCUCCCAGCUCACACCUCGGUUCGUCAGCUCGAUUACAAACUAUGUAUCAGCUAAAGGAUCUCGAAUACCCAAACUCCGCUCGAGAACAGAUCCUAAAAUUUUUGUUUGGCUCGAGAAAAAUACUUAAACUCCCUUGAAUUUUAAAGCGAGUGUGAUUCAAACCGUCUAUGAAAACAAAUCGAGACCCCGUAUCAGUUUACAAACAAUUGUUAUGUCUUGACCAGAUUUAAAAGCUUACCUUUUAUGGUGGUCUUUUGAGGUAGGCAUUGGCACCGCCUCCUGCACUUAAUAGACUUCGCUUUUGCGACAGAUCGACAGUCAUUCGCCACAAAACAAACAGACUUCAUCCAGAGAAGCUCUCAAACGAUGUUCAAACCUUCCAGCUCAUACAUGCCAGUUAAACCCAUUACUUAUCUCGAGAACAAUUCUCAAGCUCCAGAAGAUAAGUAAUUUGAGGUCGGCAGUGACAGCACCUCUCAAGCUGGAAAGAGAAUUUCUUCGUCUUCAAAGAACUUAGCAUUUGCGUUUGUUCGACGAAGUCGGUUAUUACACCUCCGCAUGUUCCUAAGAAUCUGCGUGCUUACACGCAUUUUCGGUGGGCGGUAGGGCCAUACCCCAAUCAUAGAUUGCGAAAUGCUAUACGUUAGCGCAUCUUGAUCUAUCCGAUCAAAGAAAAAAAAGAAAAUCAAAGCUAACUCUACCUAGCUCGUAUCUGUUUUAGAUAUUCAAUACCUAUCGAAACAGGAAUCACCAAAAUCAAAAUAAUCACAAAGAUCCAAUAAAACAAAAAACGGAGCUGGGAGUAGGCAUCGUCCACUUGCCAUAAGCCGCCACCAACUAUUCUCCCUUAUGGAUGAUUUCUUCGAGUUAAUACACUCGCGAAUCCAAAUAUCAGGAAGAAGACAAAAUUUCAACUAACCUUGGAAUCUUCCACGAAAGAAAAUGUUGUUCGUAACUCAA